CUAAGAGCUCAGAGGUAGGGAGAUCCUGCUCCGCCCUCUCGUCCUCUUCCUCCAAGCCUGGGGAAGGGACGUCCUGGCAGGUGGUCAGGGCGUUGCAGUUCGAGUCCAGGCCAGGAUCGGGUGAAGAAGAAGCUCCGGAGCAGGAAUCAGGAGAGCAGCAGAAGCUGUCCGGUGCAGACCUAGAAGACAGAGGUGGUGAAGCCCGGCCAGUGAGGACAAGAGCUGCGGGGAAGGACACCGAGGUGACUUGACGGCAGCAGCAGGCCUGAAGGCUCUGGCUGCUUUGGAAGAUAUUUCAAUGAGAUGCAAAUCGCAAUCGACUGACCAUUAGUUUCCACUGCAGUGUUUGCAGAUGGAGUCGAAUGUAACCCCCCGGGAAUGGAGCCGGGAGGGUCAGAGAACGCGGCUGCGCUCUGGAUCUCCGAAGGGGGGCGGGGGCCUGGAAGAGGUCCGGGCCCAGAAUGGACCUCCAGGUCCCUGCUGCCGCAAUCUGGCCCUGCCCUCCAGCCUACCCCUUACUCCCAGAGGAAGGGACCCAGGGAGACCCACCCAGAUGCCCUGAAAGGAGGUGGAGGAUGGGGGUGGGGCAAUACGCAGAGUUUGUCUGGUGAAUGCAGGAAAGGGGUGGGGGCUGGAGAGGAAAAGGAUGGAGCAGCCGUCAGCUUGUCAACUCCGCAUCUGCUGGCUGCCUCGGCCGGGCUCCAGCCUGCGCCCUCGCCCCUCGGAACAGCGGUAUGUCCAUUCUCUCCGCAUUCGUCUCCAUCGUUCAGCCACCACCGCACCCUUUCUCUAUUCAUUUCUCCUGCUCCCUUGUCCUGCCCCGCCCCUCGUGCCCAGGUCCAUCGGUCUACACCCAUGGGCCGAGCCCUCCUCACCAGGGUCCUCCUGGAACCGCUCCGGCCUUGGGCUUGUCCGCGGCUCCCACGGUCCCCGCCCGGCGGGGCACAGAGCGGGAGGGGAGGGGCACUAGCACAACCUACCCUGCGCUGCGCAGCUGCACCCCUUCGCGCAUGGGCGUGGCGUAGCUCAGACCCGC
rnacentral:lncRNA from 1 species